GCUCUCGUGGCCCAGUUGGUUGGUGCGUCGUUCUUAUAAGCAGUUCAGGAGUAUAUGCGAAGGUCGAGGGUUCGACCCCUCCAGGGGCA
rnacentral:tRNA from 1 species